AAUAUGAAGAUAUCGGACGUUUACAAUUCAGACUCAAGUUUUGUCCCUGAUAAUCCUCUGUUGGGGCAAAAAUCCUUACCUCCUUUUUCUCCUCAUUCUCAAUACACAGCACAGCAAGCAACUGGAUUCCUUCUCUCUCGCUUCUCUGCUUCUUCAGUUUUACAGUGGAAUGAAUGUCUUUUGUUAGGAAACUGUCCUGUGCUCUGUAAACUCACUGAAGCUGGCUCCAGAGAUUUCCUGGUACCAGAAAACACCAUGCAAGAUUCCAGACAUGGGAGACAACCCACAGUCCUUCCCAGCUCUGACACCUGUGAACCGCAUCAACCAGCAUGGCAUGACAACCCGGGUGCAGUUGUGGCAUGUGUACCUUGGACUAAAUUGGACUCAUUGGACUUAAGACCUGCUCAACAAGAGGGCAACCAUGCUUGAUACAGGAAACAAACCUAACUAUUCAGUGCUAGUGAGGUCAUGGUUAUUGGUGGAGAAUUUACAGCCACUAAUUUGCUAAAUCAGCAUCAUCCCUAACAACAAUCUGUAAACAUUUGUCCUUAUGCCCACAGAUAAGUGUGGUCUUCACCGCUCAUCAAGACAACUUCUCUUUGCAACAUAUGGAGACCACUACAGAAAAACACAAUCAAUCAAUAUGCAGAGUUGUAGAGCUCAGUCCCAAUGGAUACAUGUAUACAACACUUCCACAUCUAAGGCUCAGGGGUAAUUUAGUAAGAGGGGAUGGGAAGAUUGUAAGAGGCCGAGCAUCAGGAAGUUUGUUGUGAGGUUGUGUCUCCUAGUGUGGUCAGAAACUAUGCCCAUAAAGUCUCACUAACAUGACUGCUCAAGAAUGAACAAUGAGGACACCAAUGGCCAGACCAACAUGGGCAGAGAAGAGCCCAUGAGGCCUCAACCCCACAUAAAAAACUACAGGCAACUGAGGGAAGCUGGGAAUGGAGAGAGCACACCAGUCACUUGUCCAGUACCAAAUAGUCAGCCCUGAAAACAUCCAUACAAGUAACAGGGACUGAAGUAGCUAUAUUUAGAAAUAUACAUGUGUAUAUGUAUGUACAUAUUUGCAUGCAAUAAUAGUUAAUGAAAAAAGAAGCCAUGAAUUUGGUGGAGAGCAGGGAUUGUUAUAUUGGAAGGGUUCUGAGGGAGAAAAGGAAAGGAGAAAUGUUAUAUUGUUUACCUUCCCUGGCCAGGGAGGCUAAAUCUCUUCACAAUAAAAGGUCUGUGAAAAGAUCUAUAAGGGAUUACCAGUGGAAUCCAGACUUAAGAGUGAUGUGAACAAAGCACUUCCACAUUUAUUCUUAAAGCAAGAGAAAUGUGAGGUGACUUUUACAGUUAACCUAAGCAAAUAGAAGGGCACUGAGGGAAUUCAGCUGGUGGUAUGUCUUAUCAUCUUUGGUCAUAUGAACAGAGCCAAAAGUAUCCCACCCAGGCCUUUUCCUUUUCCGUAGAGGUAAUGUGUACAUGCCAUGCCGUUCCCUCAUGUCCUUGCUUUCAAGUGCAUUCACUUAUGGUUUAUACAUUUUUUUUUUCUAGAAAGCUACCUGGGGAAAAGAACAUUCUGCACUCCAUCCAUAUUUUACUGUUAAGUUUAAAGCUAUUUUAAACAUAGGCUCCUGAUAUUAUAAUCUCAGAAAGAAUUACAAAUGGCUAGUAAACUCUCUCUCUCUCUUUUUUUUUUUU